ensembl:lncRNA
CACCAAUUGCCUUUCCACAUUGACACAUGUGAAAACACUUUUAGAUAAUGAGUUGACUUACAAAUCAGAGCUUGAGCACUAUAAAUAUGCCACAGUUAAACAUUUGGUUUGGACAACAUUUGGAGGCCAAUAGGACGGGGGUAAGACGGGGUUGAAGGAGAGGACGGGACGGGGAAGAGGAAGGGGAGUCAGGAACACAAUAACGGAUGAAAUCAGAAUGACUGUGGUUGACCAUGUUGUCAACCAUGGAAUGAGCAUGAGGAAGGCUGUGCAACGGGUUCAACCAAAUCUGAGCCACUAUACUAUUGCAGGUAUCAUCUGGAUAUUUAGAAAUGAGAACCGAAAACUGGUGGAAGAGAUCGACUGUUCACCCCAGAGCAGGAGACCCACAUUGUCAAUAUGAUCAUUGCAAAUAACUGCAUCAGAGAACUGCAGGACCACAUAAUGGCAGAUAUCACCACAUUCCGAAACGUCAACAGAAGAGUCAUGGAGCUAGAAGCAGAUUCAGUGCAUCAUGAGCUAAUAUACGUGGACGAGGGAGGUUUCAACCUUGCAAAAACAAGGGGCCGCGGCAGAAAUAUCACCGGACACCGUGCCAUCAUCAACGUCCCGGGACAACGUGGUGGCAACAUAACAAUGUGUGGGUCCAGGGAGAGCACAAGUUCAGCCUUCCUGGCAGUGAAAUGUAUCGGAGCAUUCUUCCCCGUUGUGGACCUGGCCACUCUCGGGGGAUACUUGGAGUCCUGGAACUGGCCCCAUCCUGACCUUUUGACCUACUGUAUGACUAAUCACACUGACAUAUUCAAUGAGCGAUGGGUGCAUGAGACACUGAGGUAUUGCUCCAUGCUUAUAAUUCUGGAUCAAAUACACUAUGAAAACAAACAUGUUGACAUAAUGUGGUCACCCUGAUAUUGGGGAAUUCAUGACACCCUGUAAAAAUGACAUUUUAUUGUAUUCAUCUGUUUUGCUUGUCUCCAAUGUUCCCGUCUACUGUAUGCAAUAAAGAAUGACCAACCCUUCCCAUGAAUAGCGAUAUGUCACUGUGCCAAAGAUGUAACAAUACGAGAGUUGAGGGGAUGACACACCGUCCAUGUUGGGCUCACAUAGCAAGACAGUCAGACUGUACCACCAUUGUGUGUCUUUUGAUAAUAAAAGAUAAAUUUUAGGACAAAAAUAGACAUUCCAUGUAUUAUUGCCAUUCAUUUUGUACGCCUAGCAAGUUGUCCAUUAACUAACCUAGUGGUUUAAAUCAUCCAACGUGAGAUGUCCGUCCCAUGAAAUAAUCUUACUAGAGUGACAUUGCAGUGUUGUACUACAUACAAAUUCCCCUAAUUGUUGCGUG